rnacentral:rRNA from 1 species
UAUCUCUGUAGAGUCUGCAUAUCAAUAAGCGGAGGAAAAGAAACUAACAAGGAUUCCCCUAGUAACGGCGAGUGAAGCGGGAAGAGCUCAAAUUUGAAAUCUUCAAGGUUCUACCUUGACGAAUUGUAGUUUAAAGAAGUGUUUUCGGUUAGAGGAGUAGUAAAAGUUCUUUGGAAUAGGACAUCAUAGAGGGUGAGAAUCCCGUAUUUGACUAUUCUUUCUAGCUUUGUGAUACACUUUCAAAGAGUCGGAUUGUUUGGGAAUGCAGUCCAAAAUGGGUGGUAAAUUUCAUCUAAAGCUAAAUAUUGGCGAGAGACCGAUAGCGAACAAGUACCGUGAGGGAAAGAUGAAAAGAACAUUGAAAAGAGAGUUAAACAGUACGUGAAAUUGUCAAAAGGGAAGCGUUUGACACCAGUGUUGUUUUUCCGAAAAUCAAUUAAAAAUUGAUUCAUGCCAGGUUGUAUUGACCUUAUCAGCUUGCAAUUUGGUUUUGGGUCUCUUUUUGAUGCACUUUUCGGUUAACAAGUCAACAUCAAUUUCCUUUCGCUGUAAAAAGGUAAGAGGAAGGUGGCUUCAAUUUCGGUUGAAGUGUUUAUAGCCUUUUAUCUCUGCAGUCGGGGAGAUUGAGGUCUGCAGCGUAGAUCCUUCGGGGCUAGAUACAUUUAUGCUAAGUUAUAGCUUUUCAUAGACAACUUGUUGACUAUGUUUAGUCAUGUAGCUUACUCGUAAGUGCUAUUUUACCUACGCUUAGGAUGUUGAGCGCAUGUCUCUCUCU